CCGUUUCCUCACGCACACAGCACAAUAGGAUAUCGAAGUGAAGGCUUGUUUAAACUUUAUUUUACUGUGUGUAAAAUUUUAAAUCAGUCGCCAAAAAGUAGUUGGAGAUGUCACAGAAGUGAAAGGUGGAGGCAGAACACAGAAGAUUCCUAAAUCGUUAGCCAGAUGAUUAUUUGUUCAAUGAAUAAUUGACGGCAAGGCAGUAUGUCUGAUUUGUAUAGCAACAGUUGUUGUUAUGAAAGAUUGUAACAUACAACGUCACUAUGACACGCUGCACAAAGCAACGUAUUUUGAGUUUACUGGAAAUGAAAGAAGCUAUGGAGUCUCAACUAAUGUUUUUUCUGAAAAAUGAGAAGAAAAAAUGAAAGCGCUGUGGAUUCCAUGAACACAAUCACAGGAAAGGCCUUUUUUACUUCAAGAAUACAUGGAAAGUGCAGAAAUACCUUGGAAGAAACUAACUGGGAUUACAACAUAUGACUGGACAAAAGAGUGGACUGGCUAGCAGAGUGCUGGAAAAAAUUUAAGAAAGAAAUGCAGGAGUACCAAUUUUCUUACACUGGAUUCUGCAUCAACGGGCAUUAUGUGGAAAAGUUGCAGAAUUAGAACACGUGAUGAGCAUUGUUAUCAAGUGUGCCAGAAAAGAAGUGCCAAGUGUCCGGACGAAGUCAUAAAAAGACUACCAGUUCCACGAUCCAGAGCUGUAGCAAAAGCCAGCAUAAACCCGGACAUCACUUUCACCCCUGCAUUUCACGGAGAACUGUAUUACACCACUUGCACGUAUUCACUAUCACUAAGAACUGUGCUUGUGUUUUGUGUUAGUGUUGGUGUGUAAAACUGGACUUUUGGUUAUGGGUCAAACCUGGGGAAUUACAAAUACCGAGUGAUACACGCCGGUGUAUCACUCUAACAUUAUUAUUUACAGUUGUUUGCCAUAAGGCUCUGGACAUUGUUAAUUAAAUCAAUAAACACCCUUGCACCUGGAAA